GGAAGCAGAGCUUCUCUCUGGAUUAGAUGCAGUCAGGAGCAUGGUACCAGGUGUAAUCUCCCUGAACUGGCUAUGUGCAAGAAGACUUCCUUCAGAGAUUUCAGGCUUCCUCCAAGGAAUCUGCAAUGCAUAUAGACACUUAUGGAUUUUCUUCUCAAUACCUGUGAGAGAAAUACUGUAAUUUUGUUUUAUAAAUACAGAAGCCAAGUUAUGGAAUACACACACACACCAAGCAGAGAUACAGAAACAAGACUAUUGGACUUUUCAUUCUGGGCCAUGCUCAAUACCACCCCAGAUCUCCAACUGCCCAACAGUAAGCUAAUGAUGAUAGUACUUCAAUUGUAUGCUUAAUUAUAUGUUUUCAUUGGCUUUGAACUAUUCCACAGUCUCCACUUGACCCAUAAAAUAGCAGGCCUGUAGAGAAUGUGACUUAAAGUUAAAUAGUGACAGAACUUGAACUAGAACCCAGAUCUCAUGAUUC
rnacentral:lncRNA from 1 species